UACGUAGGGUGCAAGCGUUAAUCGGAAUUACUGGGCGUAAAGCGUGCGCAGGCGGUUUUGUAAGUCUGAUGUGAAAUCCCCGGGCUCAACCUGGGAAUUGCAUUGGAGACUGCAAGGCUAGAAUCUGGCAGAGGGGGGUAGAAUUCCACGUGUAGCAGUGAAAUGCGUAGAGAUGUGGAGGAACACCGAUGGCGAAGGCAGCCCCCUGGGGUCAAGAUUGACGCUCAUGCACGAAAGGCGUGGGGAGCAAACAGG
rnacentral:rRNA from 1 species